rnacentral:rRNA from 1 species
UGAGGAAUAUUGGUCAAUGGGCGCAAGCCUGAACCAGCCAUCCCGCGUGCAGGAAGACGGCCCUAUGGGUUGUAAACUGCUUUUCCAGGGGGAGAAACUUGCGCACGUGUUGCGCAAUUGACGGUACCCUGGGAAUAAGCAUCGGCUAACUCCGUGCCAGCAGCCGCGGUAAUACGGAGGAUGCGAGCGUUAUCCGGAUUCAUUGGGUUUAAAGGGUGCGUAGGCGGACUAUUAAGUCAGUGGUGAAAUCCUGCAGCUUAACUGCAGAACUGCCAUUGAUACUGAUAGCCUUGAGUUUGGUUAAGGUAGGCGGAAUGUGUAAUGUAGCGGUGAAAUGCUUAGAUAUUACACAGAACACCAAUUGCGUAGGCAGCUUACUGAGCCGACACUGACGCUGAGGCACGAAAGUGUGGGGAUCAAACA